ensembl:miRNA
UUUAGGGGCUGAUGAAAGUAGAGUUCAGUAGACAACCCUUUUCAAGCCCUGCAAGAAACUGGGGUUUCUGGAGGAGAAGGAAGGUGCUGAAGGGGCUGCUCUUGUGAGCCUGAA